rnacentral:rRNA from 1 species
CAGGCCUAACACAUGCAAGUCGAGCGGGCACUUCGGUGUCAGCGGCGGACGGGUGAGUAACGCGUGGGAACGUGCCUUCUGGUUCGGAAUAACUCAGGGAAACUUGAGCUAAUACCGGAUACGCCCUUUUGGGGAAAGGUUUACUGCCGGAAGAUCGGCCCGCGUCUGAUUAGCUAGUUGGUGGGGUAGUGGCCUACCAAGGCGACGAUCAGUAGCUGGUCUGAGAGGAUGAUCAGCCACACUGGGACUGAGACACGGCCCAGACCCCUACGGGAGGCAGCAGUGGGGAAUAUUGGACAAUGGGCGCAAGCCUGAUCCAGCCAUGCCGCGUGAGUGAUGAAGGCCUUAGGGUUGUAAAGCUCUUUUAUCCGGGACGAUAAUGGCGGUACCGGAGGAAUAAGCCCCGGCUAACUUCGUGCCAGCAGCCGCGGUAAU